AAAGCGUACGUAGGCGGCUUUGUAAGUCAGAGGUGAAAGCCCACGACUCAAUCGUGGAACUGCCUUUGAGACUGCUUCGCUUGAAGAUGGGAGAGGUUAGUGGAAUUCCGAGUGUAGAGGUGAAAUUCGUAGAUAUUCGGAAGAACACCAGUGGCGAAGGCGGCUAACUGGACCAUUCUUGACGCUGAGGUACGAAAGCGUGGGGAUCAAACAGGAUUAGAUACCCCAGU
rnacentral:rRNA from 1 species